UGUACACCGAAGCUUUAGACUUGUACUUGUACAAGUGGUAGGAGAGCGUUCUAUUCAGCGUUGAAGGUAUACCGACGAGGAGUGCUGGAGCGGAUAGAAGUGAGCAUGCAGGCAUGAGUAGCGAUAAUUGAGGUGAGAAUCCUCAACGCCGAAAACCCAAGGUUUCCUACGCGAUGCUCGUCAUCGUAGGGUUAGUCGGGACCUAAGUCGAGUCCGAAAGGGGUAGACGAUGGCAAAUUGAUUAAUAUUUCAAUACCAACAAAUAAGCGCGAUGUGGGGACGCAUAGAGUUAAUCGAGGUCACUGAUGGAAUAGUGGCUCGAAGGAUGUAGGUUGAUAGUUAGGCAAAUCCGGCUAUCACUAGACCGAGAUCUUACAGGCUGUUGCGAUUCUUCGGAAUCAAUUCAGAAUCGAUGAUACUGUCGUGCCAAGAAAAGCCACUAAGUAUAUUAUUUGUUGCCCGUACCGUAAACCGACACAGGUGGGUGGGAUGAGUAUUCUAAGGCGCGUGGAAGAACCCUGGUUAAGGAACUCUGCAAACUAGCACCGUAUCUUCGGUAUAAGGUGUGCCUACUUUGGUAUAGAGAUUUACUCUCAAAAGCUAAAGAGGUUGCAACAAAGAGUCCCUCCCGACUGUUUACCAAAAACACAGCACUUUGCUAACUCGCAAGAGGAUGUAUAAGGUGUGACGCCUGCCCGGUGCUCGAAGGUUAACUGAUGAUGUCAGCGCAAGCGAAGCAUUUGAUUGAAGCCCGAGUAAACGGCGGCCGUAACUAUAACGGUCCU
rnacentral:rRNA from 1 species